rnacentral:tRNA from 1 species
CCGCCGGUGGCAGAGCGGUGAAACGCAUCUCCGUUUCAAGGAGAAUGUCGCGGGUUUGAAUCCCGUCUGUUUGG